UUGACCUCAGAUCCAGGA
rnacentral:rRNA from 1 species